UGAGCAAUCUGCCCUUCUCAUCGGAAUAAGCGUUGGAAACGACGUCUAAUGCCGAAUACGACCUCCUUUCACAUGAUCGGAGGUGGAAAGCUCCGGCGGAGAAGGAUGAGCUCGCGGCCUAUCAGCUAGUUGGUGUGGGUAAUGGCCCACCAAGGCGACGACGGGUAGCCGGCCUGAGAGGGCGAUCGGCCACACUGGGACUGAGACACGGCCCAGACUCCUAGGAGG
rnacentral:rRNA from 1 species